AUGUUGAUUGACAAAACUUGCUGGAAAGACAAGGAUUUGCCGAAGUCAAAGAAAAAUGACGAAGCAGAGUCUCAGGGCAGCAUUGAUAUGUUCAAGCUCUGCAACUUGAAGCCAGCUUUGCCAACCACCUUUCCCGUGCCAGAUUUCAGCGACAAAGAUAUGUGUGAGAAGAUCAACUUUGCCAUUGACAAGAGCCUGUUCUUAUCAAGUGAUGCUGAAAAGAAUCAAAUUGACAUGGAGGAAGCAGGAAAGGGUCUUGACGGGGUUCAUUCAAAGGAAAAAUACAAGGAAUAUUUAAAGCAACUCCCAGACCUAAGCUCCAGCAAGAGCAAGGCAGCAUCCAUGGAAAACCCUCACGUGGUCCAGAAGCGUAAAGCAGUUUCAAUGAAGAAGAAUCUGCAGUUGCCUCAAACCAAGGAGAAGAUGGUGAGUGCAGAUGCUGAAGUAAAUAUGGUCAAGGAAGCUGUGCUUCAAACUGAUAUGCCAACUGUAGUGAGCAGAGAGCCAACCAAUGUCACAGAAGUUCAACAGAUCAAGGGGAAGACUCCCCUUUCAACAGUUCCACCAAAACCACCUAAGGAGAAGAUUGUCAAGUUUGCCAGGGGCACAAAGGGGGAACAUGCCACAAAAGGGGUGCCAAGUUCUGCUAGGUUGCUGCCAACUCAGACGGGAAAGAUGCCAACUACAGAUACCAGUGUGCCAACUGAUGUGUCAGUUAGCAGCAUGGUCAUAGUCGAAACCACCACAGCUGGUCAGGAAGGCACCACUGCAACUUCAAGCCCCAAGGUGCCUACUCAUAGAGAUGCUCCAAUGCCAAACACAAAAGGAGGUGAUCCAACUAUCAAAGUGCCGUCCCAAAGAGCUGACUUUCAGCAACCAUUAACACAAGAGGAGGUGUUCAACAUUAUAAGUAGGUGCAAGCCUGCAAGGCCGCCAACUACAACACUAUUGCAAACCAAGUCAGUGAACGAUGCACCCGUGUUUGUGCCACAAGGAGAUGCCCUGGUCCUUGAACCCUUACGAAGAUCAAAGUCUUAUCAUGGUGACGGAUUCUGCGAUGCACCAUCUUUUGACCUCGGCAUAGAUGGUGAUGCUCCAGCACCUGCUCCAGCAACAGAAACAGCGGAAGCCAGUGUGAUUUGCAUUGAUGAGUGUGAGUAG
rnacentral:rRNA from 1 species